GUCGUCCUUGUGGCGGUGCCGCAGCUAACGCGGUAAGCGCCCCGCCUGGGGAGUACGGGCGCAAGCUGAAACUCAAAGGAAUUGGCGGGGGCCCGCACAACCGGUGGAGCGUCUGGUUCAAUUCGAUGCUAACCGAAAAACCUUACCCGGGUUUGACAUGGUGGGAAACCCUUGCGAAAGCGAGGGGUGCCGUCCUCUGGACGGAAUCCCACCACAGGUGGUGCAUGGCCGUCGUCAGCUCGUGUCGUGAGAUGUUGGGUUAAGUCCCGCAACGAGCGCAACCCCUGCCCUUAGUUGCUACUCCGAAUGGGGAGCACUCUAAGGGGACUGCCGGCGAUAAGCCGGAGGAAGGUGGGGAUGACGUCAGGUCAGUAUGCCCUUUAUGCCCGGGGCAACACAGGCGCUACAGUGGCCAGGACAAUGGGAUGCAACCCAGCAAUGGGGAGCAAAUCCCCCAAACCUGGUCAUGGUGCAGAUUGAGGGCUGAAACUCGCCCUCAUGAAGCCGGAAUCGGUAGUAAUGGCGGAUCAGCUAAGCCGCCGUGAAUACGUUCUCGGGCCUUGCACACACCGCCCGUCACGCCACGGAAGUCAGUCUUCCCGGAAGCUCCCGGGC
rnacentral:rRNA from 1 species